rnacentral:rRNA from 1 species
CCCUUAGAUGUUCUGGGCCGCACGCGCGCUACACUGAUGCAUUCAACGAGUUUCUUCCUGGUCCGAGAGGAAUGGGUAACCUUUUGAAAGUGCAUCGUGAUAGGGAUAGACUAUUGCAAUUAUUGGUCUUCAACGAGGAAUUCCUAGUAGACGUAGUUCAUCAGACUGCAUCGAUUACAUCCCUGCCCUUUGUACACACCGCCCGUCGCUCCUACCGAUUGAGUGGUCCGGUGAGGCUUUGGGAUCUGAGCGGAAAGAGCGUUUCGCUGUUUCUGCUCGGAAAACUCAGUCGAACCUUAUCAUUUAGAGGAAGGAGAAGUCGUAACA